CCCUGGGAUAGCUCAGUCAGUAGAGCAUGAGACUCUUAAUCUCAGGAUCAUGGGUUCGAGCCUCAUGUUGGGCA
rnacentral:tRNA from 1 species